GCCCGGAGAUAGCUGGUUCUCCCCGAAAUAGCUUUAGGGCUAGCCUCAAGGUGAGAGAUACGGAGGUAGAGCACUGAAUGUCCUAGGGGGUAUUGCACCUACCGAAGACUAUCAAACUCCGAAUGCCGUCAUCUUAUACUUGGGAGUCAGACUGUGGGUGAUAAGAUUCAUAGUCGAAAGGGCAACAGCCCAGAUCGUCAGCUAAGGUCCCUAAAUGUAAGUUAAGUGGUAAAGGAUGUGGGAUUGCACAGACAACCAGGAUGUUGGCUUAGAAGCAGCCACUCAUUCAAAGAGUGCGUAAUAGCUCACUGGUCGAGUGAUCCUGCGCCGAAGAUUUCCGGGGCUAAAACUUACUACCGAAGCUACGGCAUCAGUAAUGAUGGGUAGGGGAGCUUCCCAUACGGGUUGAAGCAUGACCGUAAGGACAUGUGGACAGUAUGGGAGUGAGAAUGUUGGCAUGAGUAGCGAGAUGUGGGUGAGAAUCCCACAGGCCGUAAACCCAAGGUUUCCAGGGGAAGGUUCGUCCGCCCUGGGUUAGUCGGGACCUAAGCUGAGGCCGAAAGGCGUAGGUGAUGGACAACAGGUUGAUAUUCCUGUACUACCGAUAACCGUUUGAGAGA
rnacentral:rRNA from 1 species